GCAAGUCGAGGGGUAACAGCGUGUGCUUGCACUUUGCUGACGACCGGCGCACGGGUGCGUAACGCGUAUACAAUCUACCUUUUGCUGAGGGAUAGCCCAGAGAAAUUUGGAUUAAUACCUCAUGGUAUGUAAAGAUGGCAUCAUUUAUACAUUAAAGGUUACGGCAAAAGAUGAGUAUGCGUCCUAUUAGCUAGAUGGUGUGGUAACGGCACACCAUGGCAACGAUAGGUAGGGGCCCUGAGAGGGGGAGC
rnacentral:rRNA from 1 species